rnacentral:rRNA from 1 species
AGCAGCCGCGGUAAUUCCAGCUCCAAUAGCGUAUAUUAAAGUUGUUGCAGUUAAAAAGCUCGUAGUUGAAUUUUGGAUCUUGCCGAUUGGUCCAUCUUUUAGAUGAGUACUGGUCGUGUAGGGUCUAUCCGCCUGGAGAUACGUAAUGUCCUUUAUUGGGUGUUACGGGUAACCAGGACCUUUACCUUGAAAAAAUUAGAGUGUUUAAAGCAGGCUUAUGCCGGAAUACAUUAGCAUGGAAUAAUAGAAUAGGACGAUGUUGUUUUAUUUUGUUGGUUUCUAGGACAACCGUAAUGAUUAAUAGGGAUAGUUGGGGGCAUUAGUAUUCAAUUGUCAGAGGUGAAAUUCUUGGAUUUAUUGAAGACUAACUACUGCGAAAGCAUUUGCCAAGGAUGUCUUCAUUAAUCAAGAACGAAAGUUAGGGGAUCGAAGACGAUCAGAUACCGUCGUAGUCUUAACCAUAAACUAUGCCGACUAGGGAUCGGGCGAUGUUGUUUCCAUGACUCGCUCGGCACCUUAUGG